rnacentral:misc_RNA from 1 species
GAUGAAGAACGUAGCGAAAUGCGAUAAGUAAUGUGAAUUGCAGAAUUCAGUGAAUCAUCGAAUCUUUGAACGCACAUUGCGCCCGCCAGUAUUCUGGCGGGCAUGCCUGUCCGAGCGUCAUUUCAACCAUCAAGCCCCGGGCUUGUGUUGGGGACCUGCGUCCGACGCAGGCCCUGAAAACCAGUGGCGGGCUCGCUGUCCACACCGAGCGUAGUAACUAACCUCGCUAUGGAGUGGCGCGGGCGCCUGCCGUAAAACCCCCAAUUUCACAAGGUUGACCUCGGAUCAGGUAGGAAUACCCGCUGAACUUAAGCAUAUCAAUAAGGAGGA